UACGUAGGGGGCGAGCGUUGUCCAGAAUUACUGGGCGUAAAGAGAGCGUAGGCGGCACUACAAGUCUCAUGUGAAAUACCCGGGCUUAACUUGGGGGUUGCAUGGGAAACUGUAGAGCUUGAGUACAGGAGAGGCAAGCGGAAUUCCUAGUGUAGCGGUGAAAUGCAUAGAUAUUAGGAGGAACACCAGUGGCGAAGGCGGCUUGCUGGACUGAAACUGACGUUGAGGCUCGAAAGCGUGGGGAGCAAACAGG
rnacentral:rRNA from 1 species